CUCCCCUAAAGAGUUAACCAGAAGUGAACCCUGUCCUGACUGACAAGCUGGUGAACUCCAUGAAUCAGCCAAUCAGCACACCAGCUGUGUUGGGAGGAAGGAGAGUUUCUUUGUUAGGAGAAGCAGGCUGGGAGUACAAAGAAGAACACAUGUGGCCAUGGAGGAUGGCUGCUGGAGGAUGACUGCAACUCUGGGAAGAUAGAACUGCAGGGGAUUGAAUCUCAACCAGGAUUUGACACAAGUGAGGUGGUGACUGUCCUGAAUCGGUGCCUGGAUGCUGUAAGGAUGAGGGUGAAUAAGCUGAGACUUGAUACAGACAAGACAGAAGUACUGUUGGUCGGUGGUUCCUCUGCCUGGGAAGAGCUUUGGAGGAUUGCUCUGCUAGUCUGCUGUGUUUUGGAGGACUGCUCUGCAUGCAUCCCUUGGGUCUGCUGCUUUGUUGAUUCCCUACCACCCCGACCCCUGCAUCUCUGAUCUGCUUCCUGCUUGCCUGUUGGCCCCCACCUCAUCUGCCUGCCUGCCUGUUGGACCCCCAC